GGGUUGUGAGGUUAAGCGACUAAGCGUACACGGUGGAUGCCCUGGCAGUCAGAGGCGAUGAAGGACGUGCUAAUCUGCGAUAAGCGCCGGUAAGGUGAUAUGAACCGUUAUAACCGGCGAUUUCCGAAUGGGGAAACCCAGUGUGACUCGUCACACUAUCAUUAACUGAAUCCAUAGGUUAAUGAGGCGAACCGGGGGAACUGAAACAUCUAAGUACCCCGAGGAAAAGAAAUCAACCGAGAUUCCCCCAGUAGCGGCGAGCGAACGGGGAGGAGCCCAGAGCCUGAAUCAGCAUGUGUGUUAGUGGAAGCGUCUGGAAAGGCGCGCGAUACAGGGUGACAGCCCCGUACACAAAAGCGCAUGUGCUGUGAGCUCGAUGAGUAGGGCGGGACACGUGGUAUCCUGUCUGAAUAUGGGGGGACCAUCCUCCAAGGCUAAAUACUCCUGACUGACCGAUAGUGAACCAGUACCGUGAGGGAAAGGCGAAAAGAACCCCGGCGAGGGGAGUGAAAAAGAACCUGAAACCGUGUACGUACAAGCAGUGGGAGCCCCACCACUAAGCCAGUGGUGAACUCCACAUACGCAUCCUUUGCUGAGGAUACGGUUAACGGAGCGAAAGCGACGUUCAACCUCAAAAGAAGCAGAGGGGGCUUAGUGGUGGGGUGACUGCGUACCUUUUGUAUAAUGGGUCAGCGACUUAUAUUCUGUAGCAAGGUUAACCGUAUAGGGGAGCCGGAGGGAAACCGAGUCUUAACCGGGCGUUAAGUUGCAGGGUAUAGACCCGAAACCCGGUGAUCUAGCCAUGGGCAGGUUGAAGGUUGGGUAACACUAACUGGAGGACCGAACCGACUAAUGUUGAAAAAUUAGCGGAUGACCUGUGGCUGGGGGUGAAAGGCCAAUCAAACCGGGAGAUAGCUGGUUCUCCCCGAAAGCUAUUUAGGUAGCGCCUCGUGAAUUCAUCUCCGGGGGUAGAGCACUGUUUCGGCUAGGGGGCCAUCCCGGCUUACCAACCCGAUGCAAACUGCGAAUACCGGAGAAUGUUAUCACGGGAGACACACGGCGGGUGCUAACGUCCGUCGUGAAGAGGGAAACAACCCAGACCGCCAGCUAAGGUCCCAAAGUCAUGGUUAAGUGGGAAACGAUGUGGGAAGGCCCAGACAGCCAGGAUGUUGGCUUAGAAGCAGCCAUCAUUUAAAGAAAGCGUAAUAGCUCACUGGUCGAGUCGGCCUGCGCGGAAGAUGUAACGGGGCUAAACCAUGCACCGAAGCUGCGGCAGCGACACUCAGGUGUUGUUGGGUAGGGGAGCGUUCUGUAAGCCUGCGAAGGUGGCCUGUGAGGGUUGCUGGAGGUAUCAGAAGUGCGAAUGCUGACAUAAGUAACGAUAAAGCGGGUGAAAAGCCCGCUCGCCGGAAGACCAAGGGUUCCUGUCCAACGUUAAUCGGGGCAGGGUGAGUCGACCCCUAAGGCGAGGCCGAAAGGCGUAGUCGAUGGGAAACGGGUUAAUAUUCCCGUACUUGGUGUUACUGCGAAGGGGGGACGGAGAAGGCUAUGUUGGCCGGGCGACGGUUGUCCCGGUUUAAGCGUGUAGGUGUGUGUUCCAGGUAAAUCCGGUUCACUUUAACACUGAGGCGUGAUGACGAGGCACUACGGUGCUGAAGCAACAAAUGCCCUGCUUCCAGGAAAAGCCUCUAAGCAUCAGGUAACAUCAAAUCGUACCCCAAACCGACACAGGUGGUCAGGUAGAGAAUACCAAGGCGCUUGAGAGAACUCGGGUGAAGGAACUAGGCAAAAUGGUGCCGUAACUUCGGGAGAAGGCACGCUGACACGUAGGUGAAGUGAUUUACUCAUGGAGCUGAAGUCAGUCGAAGAUACCAGCUGGCUGCAACUGUUUAUUAAAAACACAGCACUGUGCAAACACGAAAGUGGACGUAUACGGUGUGACGCCUGCCCGGUGCCGGAAGGUUAAUUGAUGGGGUCAGCGCAAGCGAAGCUCCUGAUCGAAGCCCCGGUAAACGGCGGCCGUAACUAUAACGGUCCUAAGGUAGCGAAAUUCCUUGUCGGGUAAGUUCCGACCUGCACGAAUGGCGUAAUGAUGGCCAGGCUGUCUCCACCCGAGACUCAGUGAAAUUGAACUCGCUGUGAAGAUGCAGUGUACCCGCGGCAAGACGGAAAGACCCCGUGAACCUUUACUAUAGCUUGACACUGAACAUUGAGCCUUGAUGUGUAGGAUAGGUGGGAGGCUUUGAAGUGUGGACGCCAGUCUGCAUGGAGCCGACCUUGAAAUACCACCCUUUAAUGUUUGAUGUUCUAACGUGGACCCGUGAUCCGGGUUGCGGACAGUGUCUGGUGGGUAGUUUGACUGGGGCGGUCUCCUCCUAAAGAGUAACGGAGGAGCACGAAGGUUGGCUAAUCCUGGUCGGACAUCAGGAGGUUAGUGCAAUGGCAUAAGCCAGCUUGACUGCGAGCGUGACGGCGCGAGCAGGUGCGAAAGCAGGUCAUAGUGAUCCGGUGGUUCUGAAUGGAAGGGCCAUCGCUCAACGGAUAAAAGGUACUCCGGGGAUAACAGGCUGAUACCGCCCAAGAGUUCAUAUCGACGGCGGUGUUUGGCACCUCGAUGUCGGCUCAUCACAUCCUGGGGCUGAAGUAGGUCCCAAGGGUAUGGCUGUUCGCCAUUUAAAGUGGUACGCGAGCUGGGUUUAGAACGUCGUGAGACAGUUCGGUCCCUAUCUGCCGUGGGCGCUGGAGAACUGAGGGGGGCUGCUCCUAGUACGAGAGGACCGGAGUGGACGCAUCACUGGUGUUCGGGUUGUCAUGCCAAUGGCACUGCCCGGUAGCUAAAUGCGGAAGAGAUAAGUGCUGAAAGCAUCUAAGCACGAAACUUGCCCCGAGAUGAGUUCUCCCUGAGACUUAAAGUCUCCUGAAGGAACGUUGAAGACGACGACGUUGAUAGGCCGGGUGUGUAAGCGCAGCGAUGCGUUGAGCUAACCGGUACUAAUGAACCGUGAGGCUUAACCUUACAACGCCGAAG
rnacentral:rRNA from 1 species